GGUUUUGGAUAUGGCUGCCUCAUCUGUCACCUCACUGAUCGCCAGGGUUGACUCGGCUGCUCUGGAUGGCUAGAUGGGUGUCUCCUUCUUCCCUUGCCGCUCCAUAUGCAUCCCUUCUGAAGCUGCAGGCUCAGUGGAAGAGGGCGACCAUCCUCGACAGAGGAGGAUUGGCCAAGGGUAGAGAGUAGCUGCGUGCGCUUCCCUGCUAGAACCUCCAGACAAGCUCUCGAUAAUAUUCUGUCUUAAAAAAAAAAAGAUCUGUUAGGUGUGCUUCAGAACAAGUGGAUAAGUACAAUUGAGGAAUCCAUGUAUAAUU
rnacentral:snRNA from 1 species